CCAUUUUUCAUUAUCUCAUUCCCCUUCGAUCAAUCUUUCAAUCUCCCCUCCAUUAUACCUGAUCUCUCCCCCAUUAUACAUCUUCUCCACUAUUUUAACGAUCCUGUUUAAUUCACCUACAACCAUGAACACCUUUCCCACAAUCUUUAAUUAAACCUUUGUGAUUCUCAUUUAUGCUUGCAAGAUACAUAGAUUUUCCAAAAAGAAAUAAUGAAGAAAAUGCUCCAUGAAAAUUGAAUAUCAUCGCAUUGCCUCUCCAGCAAUGACAUACAUUUUUGAGGUAUCAAAGCUUGCUUCGCGUGUGGCUUUGCUGAGAAGUGAGAGGCUUAAGGGCUGGACCAGAGAAGGCAGCCUUGGUACUGAUGGGAACCAAUUUUGUGAUCAUUUCUAUUAUCAUGGUAAUAAGAGGUUCCCCCAGCAAGGAGCAUGCAGAUGAACCACUGGAAAGGUGGGCGUUGAAUCAACCAGAUCCAAAGCUGGUGAUUCAAUGCUUCCCCAAGCAAUGACUCUGAUAAUUGAACCAGCCAGCUUGGAAGCAAUUUGUCUUCUAGAGUAGUACAUUUGUUGUUGUAGCUAAACAAAAAAUUCUGAACCAGAUGGUUUAGUAUAUUUCCACUACUACUGA